UUUAAAAAGUACCUGAGCAGAUUUCAUCUCAACAGACAAAGCUGAUGGCAGAAGAUGUCGGAGAAGAACUUCAGGCCGUGUACUGAAAAGUAGAUCAAAUCAGCUCGUGCUCCUUCUGCUUC